GAGGGUGCAGCUCAGGGGUAGAGCACAUGUCUAGCACGCAUGAGGUCCUGGGUUCAAUCCCCUGUACCGCCA
rnacentral:tRNA from 1 species